CCAGACUCCUACGGGAGGCAGCAGUGGGGGAUAUUGCACAAUGGGGGAAACCCUGAUGCAGCGACGCCGCGUGUGGGAAGACGGUCCUCUGGAUUGUAAACCACUGUCCCCAGGGACGAAAAUGACGGUACCUGGGGAGGAAGCUCCGGCUAACUACGUGCCAGCAGCCGCGGUAAUACGGAGGAUGCGAGCGUUAUCCGGAUUUAUUGGGUUUAAAGGGUGCGUAGGCGGACAGUCAAGUCAGCGGUAAAAAUGCGGUGCUCAACGCCGUACAGCCGUUGAAACUGGCAGUCUUGAGUGGGCGAGAAGUAUGCGGAAUGCGUGGUGUAGCGGUGAAAUGCAUAGAUAUCACGCAGAACUCCGAUUGCGAAGGCAGCAUACCGGCGCCCGACUGACGCUGAGGCACGAAAGCGUGGGUAUCGAACAGGAUUAGAUACCCGAGUAC
rnacentral:rRNA from 1 species